CGCGCUGAGGUUAUAUUACAGCCCCAUUGUGCGAGGCUCCGCACAAGGCGGUCAGAGACAGUCUGUACCCGAGAACAGGCAGUCAGAACAGAGAAAGGCAGCCGAGAGGGCGGGCAGGAAGAAACGCCACUCAGGGAGGGAAAGCCUUUUUACCCUGGUUCCUCCAACAGGCCAGGGGCAGAAAAUGAGGGCUGUGAUUGGCUCCGCGGCUUGUCAUCGGGGACACACCUCCUGGCGUGGGGCCACCGCCUCCCCCUCUUGUGAAAGCUUCUCCUUGUAACAAGUGAGCGUAAUUACAUCAGUUACUCACUAGAGCACAGACCUGCUUUAAAUUUUGGCCUCUUGGAGCCAGCGAGAAGCUGAAGGACUAGAAAAUGCAGUUUCAAAGGCCUGUAACACUAUGGAUCAUACAAGUCACGCUGUGCUCUUCCCUCCCAGGAAUUAAGGCUCCCAGCCACACGUGAGGAAGAAUGAAUACCAGUACUAGUCAUGGAAAUGCCUAUCUGUUAGGAGAACAGAGCUGCCGCACCUGAGAAUGAUUUCUGCUUUGCCAAAGCCUCGCCCACUAAAAAAGAUACACACCAGGUCCCUUUUGAAUUGAGCUUUGGUGUAAAUUAAUCAGAAAAUGCCACACUUUCGGGGGCCUCAAAAGGGAAGAGAACUCAUGGUCAGAGCUGCAUGGAAUGUGGGUGAUCCCUUAAAAAGAGCAGAGCCAAACAAACAAAGGCAUCUGUGUGCCAAAAGAAAAUGCAUUUCACCCAGCAGCAAGAUCCUACAAGACAGGGCCAGAUUUGGUGGGGGAAGAAAGUGACCCUAAAGAGCAGCAUUUCUGUCCAGGUGGAUGUUGCAGGAGGAGGCUGAUGCAUUUCUGACACAUCAGGAGAGAAGUGUCCAGUGCUUUUGUGAGCAUGUUCCAGAAAGGGCUGUGGUGGGAGCAUCCUUGCUGUGUUCCAGGGGCCCAGAUCCUCUGUAUGGAGAAACUUCUUCCUGAAAAUAUCAUGAAAACUGAUGUGCCCCUAUGAAAAAUGUGGAUUUUGAUGAUUCAGCAUUUUCCCAUGGAACAUAAAGCUCCUUUGUUCUUCUGACCAGCUCCCAGCAAACGGCUCAAAGGCAUGUGUUUCAUGUUUCCUCCCAGGAACCUGUUCCUGAAGCAGCUGAGAAGCUUCCUAGGUCAUGGCCCACUCAGUAGGUGUCAUUGGAUCAGACAGUCUAAAAGCUAGCAAAGAGCUCCUCUUUGUUCUUACAGACCUGGAAAACAUGAAAAAUAGUACUCUGUUUUCUGUGGUGUCAGGUGUUCUCUGAUGGUAUGAGCUUCAGUGGGACCUGGUUGCUGCCUGAUUUUGGGAAGAGGUCUCAGUACAAGUGACUAUGCCCCAUUACUGAGCUGAAGUUGUGGAAAGGAAGGAGCAAUGUACCACAGGAGCCAAAGAGGAGGCAUGGAAAGGGACAGCAGGCUUCCACUUCUGAAGCAUAAAUAUUGAGAUUUGGGUUCCUGAAACGGAAAAUACCCGUACCGAGAUGUGAGAGCUGCAGGGUGCCUAACAUCUUUGCAAGAGAUGCCUGUCUACACCAAGGACCAGGGAAUUGGUACACAGAGGACAGUGUUUAAGAUAGGAAGCUGUAUUUCUGGCAGAGGAGGAGCAAGGAGAACAGAAGGAGAUUGGUACUGGGACAGAUGUGUCAGCAGGCCACAGGCACUUCCAUGUACCCAGAUGUCAUAUCCGACUUGGCACUGACCUCCAGCCCAGAGUGAGAAUGUCAUGAUCUCAAAGGACAUUUGAUCAUUUCCCUUGCCUGUAUGCAACUGCCAAGCCACCUUUCUUUCCAGGUGGAUCAAGCUUUUAUCCUUACUGCUAUUAUGAUGCCUAACAUUCCCUGCAAGGAACAAUUGUGGUGAAAUUCCUUACAUAGAGACUGACAUGCAGAGAUGGCAGGAACAAAAUAAUAAUGCUAGCCAUAAUAAUAAAUAACAGCCCCAUUUGCUUUAAUCCACAGCUCACAAAACAACAGCCCAGUCCAAAUUCUCAUCUGCUGUGGAGAUAAAGGGUGUGAUUUACUCUGUCAGCUAUGGAGAACAGACACACCACAAGACAGUUAUCUCUGGCCAUAAACAAACUGGAGUGGCUUUGCCUUUUAACAGGCUCCCUUCUCCUCUCCUGUGGAGUGCUACUUUCUGCCUUAUGUAACCCUCUGGGCAACU